AUUGACUGACGAAUAAUUCAUUUGAAAUGGUCAUAGGAAACAAUGAUACAUGCAAGCAUUAGAAAGAAUCUUCCUCAAACUUAUUGUCCACAACUAAUUGAAGGGAGCAUAUAUACAAUUACAAAUUUUUUAGUUGAAGAAAAUAAAGGAAACUAUCGUCCAGUACAUAACAAAUUCAAAAUACUCUUCAAUUUAGCAACUUCAAUCUCAAAAUUCAGCGGAUUUGAUCAUUCAAUACCUCAAUCCCAAUUUGAAUUUGCUGAUUAUGGAACAAUAGCUUCCCGUUGUUAUGACAAUACUUACUUGACUGAUGUGAUUGGCAUAUUAGACUACAUUGGAGCCAUUGAGGAGAUCAAAACAAGAGGGCGUCCAACAAAGAUAAGAAACAUUCAACUAUUGUUAGAAGAGAACAAAUCAAUUCAAACAACUUUGUGGGGAAAUACUGCACAACAAAUAGAUGAUUUCUACAAAACAAAUAAAGGGCCAUUUAUUGUAAUAGUUACUUCAACUAUUGUGAAAACUUUUAGAGGU